UCCGUUGGUGAACCAGCGGAGGGAUCAUUACCGAGUGUAAAAACUCCCAAACCAUUGUGAACCUACCACUGUUGCUUCGGCGGCCUCGCCCCGGGCGCGUUCGCGCGGCCCGGACCCAGGCGUCCGCCGGAGGCUCCAAACUCUUGUCUUUUAGUGUAUUUCUGAGUGGCAUAAGCAAAUAAAUCAAAACUUUCAGCAACGGAUCUCUUGGUUCUGGCAUCGAUGAAGAACGCAGCAAAAUGCGAUAAGUAAUGUGAAUUGCAGAAUUCAGUGAAUCAUCGAAUCUUUGAACGCACAUUGCGCCCGCCAGUAUUCUGGCGGGCAUGCCUGUCUGAGCGUCAUUUCAACCCUCAGGACCCGUUCGCGGGACCUGGCGUUGGGGAUCAGCCUGCCCCUGGCGGCGGCUGGCCCUGAAAUCCAGUGGCGGUUCCCUCGCGAACUCCUCCGUGCAGUAAUUAAACCUCUCGCGGCAGGAUAGCGGUUGAACCACGCCGUUAAACCCCCCACUUCUCAAGGUUGACCUCAGAUCAGGUAGGAAUACCCGCWGAACUUAAGCAUAUCAAUAAGCGGAGGA
rnacentral:rRNA from 1 species